rnacentral:rRNA from 1 species
UACAGAGGGGGCAAGCGUUGUUCGGAAUUACUGGGCGUAAAGGGCGCGUAGGCGGCCUUCUAAGUCGAACGUGAAAUCCCCGGUCUCAACCCGGGAACUGCGUCCGAUACUGGAAGGCUUGAAUCCGGGAGAGGGAUGCGGAAUUCCAGGUGUAGCGGUGAAAUGCGUAGAUAUCUGGAGGAACACCGGUGGCGAAGGCGGCAUCCUGGACCGGCAUUGACGCUGAGGCGCGAAAGCCAGGGGAGCAAACGGG